rnacentral:lncRNA from 1 species
UCGAUGAUUGCUAAUCCUUUUCUAAAGGUGUCGGAUUUUUGACAAGUCGAUCUCAUUUCUCCCUGGAAAUGUCGAUGUUGCCUAAAAAUGUCGAUCUCACCUUUUUCUGAGGAAGUCGAUGACUGCUGAUCCUUUUCUAAAGGUGUCGGAUUUUUGACAAGUCGAUCUCAUUUCUCCCUGGAAAUGUCGAUGUUGCCCCAAAAUGUCGAUCCCACCUUUUUCUGAGGAUGUCGAUUAGAGUGGUGUGAAAUGUCGAUCCUGACCUUCUCUUUUGAAGGUUUCGAAUUCCUUGCCAAAUGUCGACGCCUAUCCCCUUUUCCUGGGAAUGUCGAACAUGCUUUCCUGCGGAAUGUCGAUCCUGACCUUCUCUUUUGAAGGCAUCGAAUUCCUUGGUAAAUGUCGACGCCUAUUCCCCUUUUCCUGGGAAUGUCGAACAUGCUUUUCUGUGGAAAGUCGAUCCUGGCCUUCUCUUUUGAAGGCAUCGAAUUUCUUGGUAAAUGUCGACGCCUAUUCCCCUUUUCCUGGGAAUGUCGAACAUGCUUUUCUGUGGAAAUGUCGAUCCUGCCCUUCUCUUUUGAAGGUAUCGACUUCCUUGCCAAAUGUCGACGCCUAUCCCUUUUUCUGAGAAUGUCGAACUCAAUUUUCUGCGGGAUGUCGAUGGUUUUUCUGAAAUGUCGAUGGAUCUUCUUGAAAUGUCGAUGCCAUCUAGUCGGAUUUUAGGGUUUUCCACGGACUGGGCCGUCGUGGGCCUGCCGGGCCUGUGGACUUCCUGGUCCAACGGGUCGACCCGGAUGAACAGUGCCCGCGACGGUUCGUCUUCGACUUUCCCCUAUAAAUAGCGGAUGGAGUUCAUUUGUUUUCUCACUCGUUUUCUUCGCUCCGACCGAUCGACUUUCUCGCAUCGACUUUCAGGCUCCUUCUCUUCGACUUCCUGCUUCUUCCGCUUCGACUUCCAGCGUGCGUGAGGCUUCGACUUUAGCCUUGGAGGUGCAGCUUUCUGGAGUCCGACUUUUGUUAUCGGGCUCUACUG